rnacentral:rRNA from 1 species
UAGGGAAUCUUCCACAAUGGACGGAAGUCUGAUGGAGCAACGCCGCGUGGGCGAAGAAGGUUUUCGGAUCGUAAAGCCCUGUUGCCGGAGAAGAACGGAUAGGGGAGGCAAUGCCCGUAUCGUGACGGUAUCCGGCCAGAAAGCCACGGCUAACUACGUGCCAGCAGCCGCGGUAAUACGUAGGUGGCAAGCGUUGUCCGGAAUUAUUGGGCGUAAAGGGCGCGCAGGCGGCCCGUUAAGUCUGAUGUGAAACAUUGCGGCUCAACCGCAAGCGUGCAUUGGAAACUGGCGGGCUUGAGAGCAGGAGAGGGAGGUAGAAUUCCACGUGUAGCGGUGAAAUGCGUAGAGAUGUGGAGGAAUACCGGUGGCGAAGGCGGCCUUCUGGCCUGCAACUGACGCUGAGGCGCGAAAGCGUGGGGAGCGAACA